rnacentral:rRNA from 1 species
GACGAACGCUGGCGGCGUGCUUAACACAUGCAAGUCGAACGAGUGGCGAACGGGUGAGUAAUACGUAGUAACCUGCCCUCCUUUUUGGGAUAAGCCUUGGAAACGGGGUCUAAUACCGGCUAUGAGGGGAUGGGCUCGCGGCCUAUCAGCGUGUUGGUGGGGUAAAGGCCUACCAAGGCGACGAUCAGUAGCUGGUCUGAGAGGACGAUCCGCAACACUGGGACUGAGACACGGCCCAGACUCCUACGGGAGGCAGCAGUGGGGAAUGUUGGACAAUGGGGGCAACCCUGAUCCAGCCAUGCCGCGUGUAUGAAGAAGGCCUUCGGGUUGUAAAGUACUUUUGUUAGGGAAGCGGUACCUAAAGAAUAAGCACCGGCUAACUACGUGCCAGCAGCCGCGGUAAUAC